rnacentral:rRNA from 1 species
CUACGGGGGGCUGCAGUGAGGGAUUUUGCGCAAUGGGGGGAACCCUGACGCAGCAACGCCGCGUGAGUGAAGAAGGCCUUUGGGUCGUAAAGCUCUGUCAACUGGGAAGAAGUUACAAUUAUUAAACAGAUGGUUGUAUUGACGGUACCAGUGGAGGAAGCGCCGGCUAACUCCGUGCCAGCAGCCGCGGUAACACGGGGGGCGCAAGCGUUAUUCGGAAUUAUUGGGCGUAAAGGGCGCGUAGGCGGUUUUAUCGGUCAGAUGUGAAAGCCCGGGGCUCAACCCCGGAAGAGCAUUUGAAACAGUAAGGCUUGAGUAUGGGAGAGGAAAGCGGAAUUCCUGGUGUAGAGGUGAAAUUCGUAGAUAUCAGGAGGAACACCGAUGGCGAAGGCGGCUUUCUGGACCAAUACUGACGCUGAGGCGCGAAGGCGUGGGUAGCGAACGGGAUUAGAUACCCGGGUAGUC